rnacentral:tRNA from 1 species
GCCGGAGUGGCGGAACAGGCAGACGCACAGGACUUAAAAUCCUGCGAUCCUCAUACGAUCGUAUCGGUUCGAUUCCGAUCUCCGGCACCA